GCUGGCGGCAUGCCUAACACAUGCAAGUCGAACGGAAACAGGACGCUGUGAUCUCUUCGGAGUGAACUUGUCGCUGUCGAGUGGCGGACGGGUGAGUAAUGCAUAGGAAUUUGCCUCGAAGUGGGGGAUAGCCCGGAGAAAUCCGGAUUAAUACCGCAUGUGCUCUACGGAGCAAAGUGGACCUCUGAUUUAAGUUCACGCUUUGAGAUAAGCCUAUGUCGGAUUAUCUUGUUGGUAGGGUAAAAGCCUACCAAGGCGACGAUCCGUAGCUGGUUUGAGAGGAUGAUCAGCCACGCUGGGACUGAGACACGGCCCAGACUCCUACGGGAGGCAGCAGUGGGGAAUAUUGGACAAUGGGCGCAAGCCUGAUCCAGCAAUGCCGCGUGUGUGAAGAAGGCCUGCGGGUUGUAAAGCACUUUUAUCGGGAAAGAAAAACACAGGGUUAAUACCCCUGUGCCUUGACGGUACCC
rnacentral:rRNA from 1 species